UGGUCUUUGCAGGUGUAAUGUCUUCGCAGCCAUCUUGCACGUGGGCAAGUAAAAUACAGCACCGACUUUCAAAGAGCCAGGAGGAGGAACGAGGAAACGUUUUGCUUGUUGAUCAAUGCAGUGCUCUGCACUAUGAAGAUCAGAUGCCAACAGGGACAAAGUGGACUUAAUCUUCAAGCAGUUAUCUUAAGAAGGGCUGCAUGUUUUAUUUUGCAAUCCAACUCUUGGGUGAACCAGGUAAACAAAGCUCUUGAAUAAGCCAAGUUCUGCUCUGAUUAUUUGACUUCAGACAUGCAGUUUGUGCCUUGAUUAUUUACACAAUGAGUAAGAAAGGCUAUUAAGGUGGCUCCCUAUAGUUUUAUGAUUGCACGUGCACAUAGGAGAAAAGCUCAAGUCAUCUGUGCAUGCUCAAAGGAAAGCGUUAGUGUUUUUCGAUUUUUAUGACAUCAACAUGAGGACAAAAAGCAAAACUGACAGUGAAUUUUCUCGUGUUUCCU